UCGCUCUGAUGAUGCUUUGCACUGGGCUCUGAGUGACUCUGGAGACAAAAGUGCGGCUCCGCCCCUGACAUGGCGGAGUCUGAGGAGACG